rnacentral:misc_RNA from 1 species
CACGCAAAUACACACACACACCAACAGGAGCUCGACGGCGACCAUCCUCCGGCCACAGACGGUGCUCCUCUCGUACCUGGGCGGCCGUUGAUGCGCCCAACGCCGCGUCCUCUGCCCGCUCGGCCAUACUCCACACUGUGGUCGCCACCGGCGCGGAUCCACUUCCGGCCGCCAGACCUCCCGUAGUCCCGUCGUUCCCUCAACCGUGGUUAGACGGCUUCCAUGCAUGGGGGCAGCUCCCCUCCACGAUGUUGUGCCCUCAGUCGUGGCCGGACACCUUCCUUAUGCGAGCGUGGCUCCCCUCCAUGUCGGCCGCCCUCCUUGCGCGGGCGCGGCUCCCCUCCACGUCGCCGCAACUCCCUCCGCGCCUACUGUCAUCUCCACCACACCGGCUCCUCUUCACCACGCACUCGCCGACGUUCAUCACAUGACUAUCAGUGUGCCAACCUUUGCCCUCACCGUCUGCGCCACUCCCGUGGCCGGCGACCCUCAACCCACCUCCUUGGUGGCCGCCACUGCCCCAACUCUCUCCCAAGCCACGCACGGCACCCACGCCGGCUCCAACGCACCUACGCUCCAUCCAACACGGGCUGGGCUCAUCCCUCCCCAUGAAACGGUCGCAGCUGACACCCCCACAUGGGCCUCUGCUCCGUUCCCCACCA